UGGGGAAUUUUCCGCAAUGGGCGAAAGCCUGACGGAGCAAUGCCGCGUGGAGGUGGAAGGCCUACGGGUCGUCAACUUCUUUUCUCGGAGAAGAAACAAUGACGGUAUCUGAGGAAUAAGCAUCGGCUAACUCUUGUGCUAG
rnacentral:rRNA from 1 species